CCUACGGGUGGCAGCAGUGAGGAAUAUUGGUCAAUGGGCGAGAGCCUGAACCAGCCAAGUCGCGUGAGGGAGUACUGCCCUAUGGGUUGUAAACCUCUUUUGUCGGGGAGCAAAAGCCGGACGUGUCCGGCUGUGAGAGUACCCGAAGAAAAAGCAUCGGCGAACCUCGUGCCAGCAGCCGCGGUAAUACGGAGGAUGCGAGCGUUAUCCGGAUUUAUUGGGUUUAAAGGGUGCGCAGGCGGAUUUUUAAGUCAGCGGUAAAAUCGUGGGGCUCAACCCCAUCCAGCCGUUGAAACUGGGGAUCUAGAGUGUGCGAGAGGUAUGCGGAAUGCGUGGUGUAGCGGUGAAAUGCAUAGAUAUCACGCAGAACCCCGAUUGCGAAGGCAGCAUACCGGUGCACAACUGACGCUCAGGCACGAAAGCGUGGGUAUCGAACAGGAUUAGAUACCCUAGUAGUC
rnacentral:rRNA from 1 species